UUUGUUUUUUUGUAUGUGCCACUAAUCACUUCCUAUAAUGUUUACCGUAUUUCCUUAAAACCUUUUUCUCACGCCUGCGUUUACCAAAGGCAUGCGGUAAAAGUAAGCAUGCGCUAAUUUUUUUUAAAACCUCUUUGGGCGGCAUGGCGUAGUGCAGGGGUGCCCAUUACGUCGACCGCGGGGGGGUGUGUCAGUCCAUCUCCAGCCAGGCUUUUUUUUAAAAAAUAGACCUAAAAAUGAGUGAUCAUCAAUCUUCACCAAGACGUCACUUAAAUGACAUUCACGGUACCGGAGGGUCUUGUGAGAUGACGCUGGCUGCUGCAAGAUCAUUAUUAUGAAAAUAUGACCGAGAGGAAGGCGAGAAGGCGCCGUACCUUCCGUCAAAACUCUAAAGGCCGACUGCACAUUUCCUAUCUUCACAAUAAAAGCCCUGCUUCAUGCUGCCUGCGCUAACUAAAUACAGAGUCUGUCUAUCUGUGUUGGCCCUGCGAUGAGGUGGCGACUUGUCCAGGGUGUACCCCGCCUUCCGCCCGGUUGUAGCUGAGAUAGGCGCCAGCGACCCAAAAGGGAAUACGUGGUAGAAAAUGGAUGGAUGGAUGGAUGGCGUCGCUCCCGGCACGCGCCGCCUCUCCACUCAUCCUCAUUCUCCGCCUCCUUGCCGCCAUCUUGGGCAAGGCCGCAGCGUGCUCUGCCCCGCCUCCGGCCCGUCGGCUCCGCCUCCCCACAAUGGCUUUCAAUGCAGUAUUUAUUUUACAUUUUUUUAAUUGAAAUCCAAUUUGCAAGGAAGACUUAAAACAUUGAAAACCUAUUCAUAAAAUCCCAGUGUUGUUGAAAGAAAUAAUCAAUCAAUCAAUGUUUAUUUAUAUAGCCCCAAAUCACAAAUGUCUCAAAGGACUGCACAAACCAUUACGACUACAACAUCCUCGGAAGAACCCACAAAAGGGCAAGGAAAACUCACACCCAGUGGGCAGGGAGAAUUCACAUCCAGUGGGACGCCAGUGACAAUGCUGACUAUGAGAAACCUUGGAGAGGACCUCAGAUGUGGGCAACCCCCCCCCCUCUAGGGGACCGAAAGCAAUGGAUGUCGAGCGGGUCUAACAUGAUACUGUGAAAGUUCAAUCCAUAGUGGCUCCAACACAGCCGCUAUUAAUCUUCAAAACAUUGCAACUUUAAGCACAACUUUCUAAAAAAUAAAAAUAAAAAGUCAAAAGAUUUCCUUUGUCCACAUCUGUGUACAAUUCACACCAUUUCAUAUCCCAAUAUCCUUUGCGCACUGAGCUCUGAAAAUUAUUUUUCAACCUGGCGGAGCGGAAAUAAUGACUUUAAAAUGGAAGUAUAGCUUAAUGCAGGGGUAGGGAACCUAUGGCUCUAGAGCAGGGGUCGGGAACCUUUUUGACUGAAAGAGCCAAGAAGCCAAAUAUUUUAGAAUGUAUUUACUUAAGAGCCAUAUGAUAUUUUUUUUUAACCCUGAACACAACUAAACGCGUGCAUUUUUAAGUAAGACCAACAUUUCCAGAGUAUAAUAGGUCUCUUAUUCUUUGUAAUAACAUUGUUAUUCUGAAGCAAACUGUGGAGGGGGCGUGGCCUGCGGGCCUGCAGCGAAGCUGGGUGUUGCCAGGAUCGGCCUUGAAAUCAGUGACAGCAGCCAGGAGGAGAGACAGGGUUGGGGCUGGAGCCAGAGCGAGAAUGAAAGCGAAAAAGACAAUUGCUGGAAAGCAACUGAGAGACUAAUUGAAAAAUAAAACAAUAUUGUAACCCUGAAA